GUAUACGGGGGCCGAUGGUCACAAGUAAAACUAUGGAAAGGAGGGGCCCUGCCAGGGAAGGCAGCCAGGAUGCCCAGUCUGUGAGAUCCCAUCCUCUCCGUUGACUGAUAUUUUCUUGUUGUCUAUGUUGAAUUCUUUCCUUGAGUUCCUUAACGUUAGUCAUGACUAUUCCUGACUGGUUUACAAAAUAGCAACAUUCCUCCUCCAGAAAGAUACAAGUCCCCCCUUUUUGAAAUGAGGUCCAGAGAU